AUUGAACGCUGGCGGCAGGCCUAACACAUGCAAGUCGAGCGGAUGAAUGGAGCUUGCUCCUGGAUUCAGCGGCGGACGGGUGAGUAAUGCCUAGGAAUCUGCCUGGUAGUGGGGGAUAACGUCCGGAAACGGGCGCUAAUACCGCAUACGUCCUGAUGGAGCAAGUGGGGGAUCUUCGGACCUCACGCUAUCAGAUGAGCCUAGGUCGGAUUAGCUAGUUGGUGGGGUAAAGGCCUACCAAGGCGACGAUCCGUAACUGGUCUGAGAGGAUGAUCAAUCAGCUUGGAAGUGAGACACGGUACCGACUCCUACGGGAGGCAGCAGUGGGGAAUAUUGGACGAUGGGGGAAAGCCUGAUACAGCAAUGCGGGGUGUGUGAAGAAGGUCUUCGGAUUGUAAAGCACUUUAAGUUGGGAGGAAGGAAAGUAAGUUAAUACCUGGCUGUUUUGACGGUACCAACAGAAUAAGCACCGGCUAACUUCGUG
rnacentral:rRNA from 1 species